UUUAGCUUCAUGUUUGUCUGUUGAACUUUAGCUUUAUGUUUGUCUGUUGGCAUUUGAACUUUAGCUUUAUGUUUGUCUGUUGGCGUUUGAACUUUAGCUUCAUGUUUGUCUGUUGGCGUUUGAACUUUAACUUUAUGUUCGUCUGUUGGCGUUUGAACUAUAGCUUUAUGUUUGUCUGUUGGCGUUUGAACUUUAGCUUUAUGUUUGUCUGUUGGCGUUUGAACUUUAGCUUUAUGUUUGUCUGUUGGUGUUUGAACUUAAGCUUUAUGUUUGUCUGUUGGCGUUUGAACUUUAGCUUUAUGUUUGUCUGUUGGCGUUUGAACUUUAGUUUUACGUUUGUCUGUUGGUGUUUGAACUUCAGCUUUAUGUUUGUCUGUUGGCGUUUGAACUUUAGUUUUACGUUUGUCUGUUGGUGUUUGAACUUUAGCUUUAUGUUUGUCUGUUGGCGUUUGAACUUUAGCUUUAUGUUUGUCUGUUGGCGUUUGAACUUUAGUUUUACGUUUGUCUGUUGGCGUUUGAACUUUAGUUCUAUAUUCGU